rnacentral:rRNA from 1 species
GAUGAACGCUGGCGGCGUGCUUAACACAUGCAAGUCGUCGAUGAAGCCCAGCUUGCUGGGUGGAUUAGUGGCGAACGGGUGAGUAACACGUGAGUAACCUGCCCUUAACUCUGGGAUAAGCCUGGGAAACUGGGUCUAAUACCGGAUAGGAGCGCCUACCGCAUGGUGGGUGUUGGAAAGAUUUAUCGGUUUUGGAUGGACUCGCGGCCUAUCAGCUUGUUGGUGAGGUAAUGGCUCACCAAGGCGACGACGGGUAGCCGGCCUGAGAGGGUGACCGGCCACACUGGGACUGAGACACGGCCCAGACUCCUACGGGAGGCAGCAGUGGGGAAUAUUGCACAAUGGGCGAAAGCCUGAUGCAGCGACGCCGCGUGAGGGAUGACGGCCUUCGGGUUGUAAACCUCUUUCAGUAGGGAAGAAGCGAAAGUGACGGUACCUGCAGAAGAAGCACCGGCUAACUACGUG